rnacentral:rRNA from 1 species
UACGAAGGGUGCAAGCGUUAAUCGGAAUUACUGGGCGUAAAGCGUGCGCAGGCGGUUCUCCAAGUCCGUUGUGAAAGCCCCGGGCUCAACCUGGGAAUGGCAGUGGAAACUAGGGGACUGGAAUCUGGCAGAGGGGGGUGGAAUGCCGCGUGUAGCAGUGAAAUGCGUAGAGAUGCGGCGGAACACCGAUGGCGAAGGCAGCCCCCUGGGCUGAGAUUGACGCUCAGGCACGAAAGCGUGGGGAGCAAACAGG